rnacentral:rRNA from 1 species
GAAACGGCUUGCUAAUACCGCAUAAUGCAGCGGCUCGACAUCGAGACAGUUGUUAAAGCGGGGGACUCCUUCGGGAACCUCGCGCCUAAAGAGGAGCCUGCGGCAGAUUAGCUAGUUGGUAAGGUAAUGGCUUACCAAGGCUUCGAUCUGUAGCCGGCCUGAGAGGGCGGUCGGCCACACUGACACUUAAAUACGGGUCAGACUCCUACGGGAGGCAGCAGUCGGGAAUUUUGGGCAAUGGGCGAAAGCCUGACCCAGCAACGCCGCGUGAAGGAUGAAAUCCCUCGGGAUGUAAACUUCGUAAGAACGGGAAGAAUAAGUGGGGGACAAUACCCCCCAUGAUGACGGUACCGUUUGUAAGCUCCGGCUAACUCCGUGCCAGCAGCCGCGGUAAUACGGGGGGAGCAAGCGUUGUUCGGAUUUACUGGGCGUAAAGGGCGCGUAGGCGGUCAGCGCAAGUCAGUUGUGAAAUCUCUGGGCUUAACUCAGAACGGUCAACUGAUACUGCGCGACUAGAGUGCAGAAGGGGCAACUGGAAUUCUCGGUGUAGCGGUGAAAUGCGUAGAUAUCGAGAGGAACACCUGCGGCGAAGGCGGGUUGCUGGGCUGACACUGACGCUGAGGCGCGAAAGCUAGGGGAGCGA